UGCUGUGGUAGCUCAGUUGGUAGAGCACACCCCUGAUAAGGGUGCGGUCAGUGGUUCAAGUCCACUCCAUAGUACCAU
rnacentral:tRNA from 1 species